rnacentral:rRNA from 1 species
UGCAGUCGAGCGAAUGAAGAGGAGCUUGCUCCUCUGAUUUAGCGGCGGACGGGUGAGUAACACGUGGGUAAUCUGCCUGUAAGACGGGGAUAACUCCGGGAAACCGGGGCUAAUACCGGAUAAUAAGAAGAAACGCAUGUUUCUUUUUUGAAAGUCGGUUUCGGCUGACACUUACAGAUGAGCCCGCGGCGCAUUAGCUAGUUGGUGAGGUAACGGCUCACCAAGGCGACGAUGCGUAGCCGACCUGAGAGGGUGAUCGGCCACACUGGGACUGAGACACGGCCCAGACUCCUACGGGAGGCAGCAGUAGGGAAUCUUCGGCAAUGGGCGAAAGCCUGACCGAGCAACGCCGCGUGAGCGAUGAAGGCCUUCGGGUCGUAAAGCUCUGUUGUUAGAGAAGAACAAGUACGAGAGUAACUGCUCGUACCUUGACGGUACCUAACCAGAAAGCCACGGCUAACUACGUGCCAGCAGCCGCGGUAAUACGUAGGUGGCAAGCGUUAUCCGGAAUUAUUGGGCGUAAAGCGCGCGCAGGCGGUCUCUUAAGUCUGAUGUGAAAGCCCACGGCUCAACCGUGGAGGGUCAUUGGAAACUGGGAGACUUGAGUGCAGGAGAGAAAAGUGGAAUUCCACGUGUAGCGGUGAAAUGCGUAGAGAUGUGGAGGAACACCAGUGGCGAAAGCGGCUUUUUGGCCUGUAACUGACGCUGAGCGCGAAAG